GACGAACGCUGGCGGCGUGCUUAACACAUGCAAGUCGAACGGAAAGGCCCUGCUUUUGUGGGGUGCUCGAGUGGCGAACGGGUGAGUAACACGUGAGUAACCUGCCCUUGACUUUGGGAUAACUUCAGGAAACUGGGGCUAAUACCGGAUAGGAGCUCCUGCUGCAUGGUGGGGGUUGGAAAGUUUCGGCGGUUGGGGAUGUACUCGCGGCUUAUCAGCUUGUUGGUGGGGUAGUGGCUUACCAAGGCUUUGACGGGUAGCCGGCCUGAGAGGGUGACCGGCCACAUUGGGACUGAGAUACGGCCCAGACUCCUACGGGAGGCAGCAGUGGGGAAUAUUGCACAAUGGGCGGAAGCCUGAUGUAGCAACGCCGCGUGCGGGAUGACGGCCUUCGGGUUGUAAACAGCUUUCGACUGUGACGAAGCGUGAGUGACGGUAAUGGGUAAAGAAGCACCGGCUAACUACGUG
rnacentral:rRNA from 1 species